rnacentral:tRNA from 1 species
GCCUCGGUAGUCUAAUUAGCUAGGACACUUGCACGUAAAGCAAGGUAUCUGGGUUCAACUCCCGGCUGAGGUA